GCCUGGGUGGCUCAGUCAGUUGGGCGUCUGACUUCAGCUCAGGUCACGAUCUCACACUUCGUGAGUUCGAGCCCCGCGUCAGGCU
rnacentral:tRNA from 1 species